UCUCCUUGGACAGCCUUCUGAAAGGAAGAUUAAUACAAGAUGGCAUCAUGAGUCCGCAUGUUCACAUGAUUAAAGGUAUUCCGGUAGACGAUGGGGAUGCGUUCCAUUAGAUAGUAGGCGGGGUAACGGCCCACCUAGUCUUCGAUGGAUAGGGGUUCUGAGAGGAAGGUCCCCCACAUUGGAACUGAGACACGGUCCAA
rnacentral:rRNA from 1 species